rnacentral:rRNA from 1 species
GCCCAAGAGAUCGGGAUAACACCUGGAAACAAGAUGCUAAUACCGGAUAACAACAGAUGAUGCCUAUCAACUGUUUAAAAGAUGGUUCUGCUAUCACUCUUGGAUGGACCUGCGGUGCAUUAGCUAGUUGGUAGGGUAACGGCCUACCAAGGCGAUGAUGCAUAGCCGAGUUGAGAGACUGAUCGGCCACAUUGGGACUGAGACACGGCCCAAACUCCUACGGGAGGCAGCAGCG